GGAAAUUGUUUAGAGAGCUCUCAUCAUAAACAGUUGUUUUAUUGGUACCUAUGGAAAGACCAAAUUAAAAGGAAAUUAUAAUGUCUAG